rnacentral:rRNA from 1 species
UACGUAGGGUGCAAGCGUUGUCCGGGAUUAUUGGGCGUAAAGAGCUCGUAGGCGGUUUGUCGCGUCUGCUGUGAAAACCCGAGGCUCAACCUCGGGCCUGCAGUGGGUACGGGCAGACUAGAGUGCGGUAGGGGAGAUUGGAAUUCCUGGUGUAGCGGUGGAAUGCGCAGAUAUCAGGAGGAGCACCGAUGGCGAAGGCAGAUCUCUGGGCCGUAACUGACGCUGAGGAGCGAAAAGCAUGGGGAGCGAACAGG